rnacentral:lncRNA from 1 species
AGAAAUUCUAGGUUGGAAGAGAUCUUUCAGAUCAUCGAGUCCAAUCCAUGUUCUAACACCUCAACUAGAUCAUGGCACCAAGUGCCACAUCCAGUCUUUUUUUAAACUCUUCGAUGAAUCAUUUGCACUUGGUGCCUGAGCUCCCUGGUGUCUUUAGUUUUUCGUUUGGCAGCCUUAUGGAGAGAAUUAGCCUAUCUCACUUAUAUUGAAAUGUAUACAUAAUCUGAAUCCUGUAAAAUCAAUAUUCAUUAUUCAAGGUGACAACAGAGCUCAAAUGAGUCCUUUAGCUAUAUCAAGAGUAUCAGGACGAUCACAUGUUACUUGGAUUAGCGACCUCAUGCAGCCGCACGGUUUCCCCGCGUGGGCAGGGCGGCAGGCCCGGUGCCGAGGAGCGCGGCCCGAGGCUCCGGAGCGGAUCCCGCCCUGCCCGGUGCCCCGGGAGCGCCGGGAGCGCCUCCAUUGCGCCAGAGCUCCGCAAGUGCAGGUCAUCCAGCCUCUGCAAUCUUGCUGCUGGAGAGCUAAAGAAUUAGCUCUCCUGCCUUGCCCAGCACCAUCUUCAUCACACUCCUGAGCAGCACAGGCUGCAGCCAGGAGCACAGCACAUUGUGGUGGCUUCCCUGUCCCCUGUGAUGUGAACACCCUGGAUGCCACAGACAGGAGAGGACAAGGAGAGAGCUAGGAGAGACUGCUUGUGCUGCAUGCCAAGGAGCUUGUUCCUCCUUUCUCAGAGCUGAAGAUACCUUGGGUUAGAAGAGCCUUCUGUAGGCCUCUGGAGAACAGUUUGUGAAGUGUUACAAUGUGAAAACUAUGCCCAAAGGUCCCAAGCUUGCUCCUGUUUAGCUUCCUUGAGUACUGGAUUAAGAGCCAAAUGUGGUCAUGAAAUGCCAGAGACCCAGAGACCCAGUGCUCUUCCAGCCUGCCUGAGUGGUGUCAGUGUGGGAAACUUACACACCUGAUCUUUCCUUCUCCUGUGUGUUAUUUGUGUUUAGCAGGCUGUAUUCUGCCUUCAUCAUGUGCCAUUGUGUGUUUAUACAUUUUACACAUCCAUUUGGAAGCAAUAACCAGUGCCACAGGACUUACCAACCAGCCAUGCUCUCUAGCAGAGCACCCAAGCAAGCUGCAUUGCAAACCAUCCAGAGACUGCAACAGAAUGGCAGAAAAGUCUCAGGAAAAUGCCCUGCUACAAAGACAUUGGAAAAUCAAGGUUGUUUCAUGGCUUGUUUGUGAGCAGGAAGCAAAACCACCCUGAUUUGGUGCCUCUGAAGAGGCCAGCAGAACUGGGAUGCAUGUUGCAGGACUUGGCGUGCAGGAAUUCAUGAACCAUAAGGCCUUGUCAAAACUAAUUUUUAAAUAAAAUGCAGUGUCCUAGCA